UUGUUUUAUUCAGUUUUAGAUUUUUUGAUUUAGGGUUUCAAAUCAUUUUUGUGUAUUAGUUUUUUAAUAUUUUAUGUUAUUGUUUCUUUUCAUUACAACGAUUUGCACAUCUACAAUCUCAUAUCUACCUGAACAUUUUCUGAUAUCGAUCGCUCAUUUAUCAUUUUUCUUCUUGACUACAAGAUGGAACAUUUCAUAGAGCAAGAUGAGCCAUCUAACCAUCUAACCAUGGAUUAUCAACGUCAAAGUAGCAUGGAUCAUCAAUGCAAAGUAGCAUG